UGUAGUCUGCAACCCGACUACAUGAAGCUGGAAUCGCUAGUAAUCGCAGGUCAGCAUACUGAACGGUGAAUACGUUCCCGGGUCUUGUACACACCGCCCGUCACACCAUGGGAGCCGGAAAUGCCCGAAGCCAGUGACCCAACCUUAGGGAGGGAGCUGUCGAAGGUGGAGCCGGUAACUGGGGUGAAGUCGUAACAAGGUAGC
rnacentral:rRNA from 1 species